rnacentral:sRNA from 1 species
UGACUGACUGCUAAAAAAGGGAAGAUUCAAGACCACUACAGUCUAUCUGUGGACUUAUAGACCCAAGUACACGGCUUAAUAUUGUAAAGUCAUUUCAUUUUUAGAAAGGUAAGGGAGAAUGUUUGUGAACUUUGCUUGGGCAAAAAUCAUCUCAGAUAAAAGAGCAAAAUGACUGUGUGCUAGCAAGAUGGUUAAACAUUGAUGUUGAUGUAGAUGUUGAAAUAGAUCUAACACCUUUUGGAGGCAAAAUUGUGCAGCAACUACAAAGCUGUUUGUACAUGUAAAAUAUGACACACUCCCAUCCUGCCCACAUGUCCCCAUGCUGGAAAGGACAGCCUGCAUUUAAAUUUCAAGAAAUCUCUAUGUGACUGUUUGCAGCAGCUUAAGGGUCCCUGUACAAAUGACACAUUUGUGACCAUUGAAAUAUCCCCAAGCUGAUGACAAGGUAAACCUCUCAACACAAGAAACUACUCCAACCACAUGCCUGUGUGCCCUUUCUCAUGCCACUUUAACAAGACAAAUGUCCCAUAGGCUCCUAACCCAAAAUGUCUGUAUACUAAGCCAGCCAGCAAGCUUAUGCAAACUCGAGGUCAGAGAGCUACAGGAUGUGGUCCCUUUGCAGUUACAUUUGAGCAGAGACCACCAACUGCCACUACUCGCUUCCUCCUCUCACUUCUCUACAAGUUUCCUUCCAGCUUUUCAUAACCUCUCUGUAUAACAUUUGCUGGUGAGAUUCUUGAGAAAUUCUGAAUUGAGAGCAGAGUUCUGGGUCAGCAGGGCUGUGCAUACGGUCUCUCAGCAUCUCCCCGAAGUGCUUGUUCCUGACAGGCUACUGCUCGGCACUGCACUGUGAGUGAUGAGCUGAGGAGGUUGCUCUGACAAGAUGGAGGAACUGAGGCAGGAUUCUCUGCUCCAUGGAUCCACUGUACGGCGUCUGCAAAGGCCCAUGGAGAUGGAGAACACACUGGCAGCGAACAUGGGAGAGAGCAAAACUCCGCCUGGUGACAUGUGGAAGCCAGAGACCACAAAGGAGCCAAAGCAGACAACAUUGCCAAAGCUACCAUCCGCCUGAGCAUCGUGGGAUGGAAUGGAGGCAAACCAGGGACUCCAAGCAACCUCGGUGGGCACACUGUGAAUUCCUAUAUGGUUGAAAGGAAGUCUGCAGUCCUCUCCCAACAGUCUGUGGGUCUGUCUGUCUAUCUGUCUGUCUAUAAGCAUGCGUGCUUUCUGUGUCAGCCUCAGAACCUCACUUCUCAGGCAAGCAUCCCAGCACCUGAGAAACAACUUGAGAUCCUCCACCUGUCUCAGGUCAGCCACGUCUCCCAUCUCUGUCUGAAAUGACUCCAGCCCUGCCGUGUCCCUUGAGUGAAGUCUGGAAAGAAACUAGGCUGAGAGUGGCCAGCUCAGCUCCCUACACUUCUGACCUGCAGGCUGUCAUAGAAAACAAUGGUUCUUAUAAUCAAUUACUAAAUUUUGGAAUAUUUUCUUUAACUGGGAAAAAAAUUCAAAUGCAACUAUCAAAAAUGGACCAUAUAGCAGAGGACGAUGUGGAAUGUGGUUAGGAAAUGGGGAUUUCAACAUGAAUUCCAGGGAUCAAACUUGGGCAGUCGGGCUUGCAAAGCCAAUAGCACCUUUGGUAGCUAAGCUACCCCCUACUCUUUCUCAUUUGUGCUGAAUUCAGUGUGUUGUUUGGGAUUAAAUUUUUCCCCACUUAAUGUGUAAUUGUGCAUACAUAUAUAAAUACAUGUGACUUUACAUAUGUAUGAAUAUGUAUAUAUUUAUAUAUAUUUAAAUAUAAGUAUAUAUCCUGAACGAAAUGCUAUAGGCUCCAUAGCUUUUCAAUGAAUGAAUUUUGAGUGGAGGGGUGGGAAUGGGGGAGGAACCGAGUUGUGCUUAGGCUGUGGAGAGGCUGAAGCAAUUUGAUGUCCUGUACUGCUGCCACCUAAGACCAGGUUGAUGUCUGUGGUCCGGGCUGCCACCAGGGGCUGUGUCUGGGUCCCUGGUCCUGCUGCUGUGUCCACGGCCCCUGUGGCCCUUGUUACCACUGAAGGCCAUGUUGAUGUCUGUGGGCUGGGCUGUCUGGGAGGACAGUGUUGGUGCCCAUGACCCUUACUGCCACUGGAGACCAUGCUGAGUCUGUGGAACAUGCUGGCACCAGAGGCCGCGUGGAUGUCAUCAUCCGUGCUUUCAGCAGAUACCAUGUGGAGGUUCGUGAUCCGUGCUUCCCCUGACUGUAAAGGACAAGGAAGCUCCCUCUUUAGAGGUCCUGAGGACUGCAGACUCACAGAUGACAAAGAGGGACAUAGAACGUUUCAGUGACAACACCUAACCUCCACCCCCAUCCCCCAAAAAGUAACAUUCUAAACAGGAAACCACCGAGAGAACUUUUAAAGAUUGUGAUAAGGACAGAAAUGUAGCUCUCCACAAAUGGAUGGCACAGGAGAGGGUGGGGGAGGGGAAGGACUCACUCUUCUUUAAGGGACUGGCCACCAGGAGUUUGACUGUACUCCAGUGACUACAUGGACAAAAAAAUAAGAGAGAGGAGGCCACAAUGGUGGGUAAUAAGUGUGUGCAUGAGGGCGUGGGAGGGCUGGUAAGUAAGGAUGAUCAGGGUACAUUGUGUGAAAUUCCCAAUAAUCAAUGAAAAAUUAUGUUUAAAAGUGGAAAAAAUAAAAAUAAAGUGUGAGAAAUAAA